CUCGCCUGAGUCACUGAAAAAUUUCGGUUUUGGUUCAGCCCUCGACACGUCUUUUUUGAAAGUGCCGGAGGCCCAGAAACUCCUUUAUUCCCACAGCUGCACUGGUGACCCGGCCACGCUGUCUCCUGGCAGACCAACACUUCCCUGGCUCGGUUUCUGUCUCAGUUUGACGGUUGACUUGGGAGUGUGAGAAAGCUGGGUCAGGAAGAGUCCCGCAGCUCCGGAGAGCACCCCCGGCUCCAGCCCUGUGACAUGGCUGGUGACCUGCUUUCGAAGAGCCGUCACGGGGACUGGCAGGAGUUGAGAAGCAGGGCCCAGAGAGCACAGCUGCAGUGGAUGGACCUGCAGAGCCCCACACCUUGGACAUCCUGAUCACCGGGCUGAACGAGCCGGGCGUGACUUACAGGUUCUUCAUGCUUAGCAAAGUGGAGAAUCUCGAAUUCGCCUCCUACGGCAGCGACACACGAGAGACGAAACCCAAGAGCGAGUGGGUAGAACAGGCUCUUGGCACAAGAUACUUAAGGAAGAAGUCCCAGGGACAUGGGGGAUUCUCUGUGGAGGCUGGAUACUCCGUUCUGGACUUAGAUCAGGAGUGAUGGGCUCCCUGCGGCAGUGCCGGGGUGCACGCGAUGCCCUGUGUGAGCUGGGCCCAGUCACUCUGUAUCGCUGGCCUCAGUUUCCCCAUCUGUGACCCAGGGACAAUGGCCCAGCCCUGUUGCGUGGGGUGAUGGGGAUACGUGCAUAGGGAUGGGGAGGGGCCGGAGCUGUAGAUGUACCAACGAUUAGAAAAUAUCCUGCACCGUUUUUCCUCCCUGUCUCUCCCUCAUGGAUCCACACCCUGCAGCUCCACGUGAACUGUGCGCUGGACGGGGACACCCCCGUGCGAGGGCCCUUUCGCUUUGCUUUCGACGGGCAGGAUUUCCUCGUCCUGGAGAGGGCGGCGUGGGCCAAUCCGCGUGGGCGCCGCUGGCACCAGGAGCCCUCAACGAGACGCUCUACCGGGAGGCCGGUCACACCUGGACCCUGUUUGCAAAGCAGUCCCUGCAGGGGGCGGGCGUGGCCACCCUGAGGAGCCUGCUGCGGGGCAGGACGGAGGCCCCGGGACGGCAGGCCUUCUGCUUCCCACCCCGGGCCCUGCCCUUCCCUGGUAGCAGAGCCCAGCAAAGCCAGGCCGCGCCUUGCAACGAAGGGCUGAGAGGCGGAGCUCGACCAACAGCUUUUAGCACCCCACAAACCCUUGCUUCCUUCGCUGGAUGGUGCACCCCGGGGUGACCCUCUCCCAGCUCAGCCUGUGGAACUCACUGCCACUGUCACGGGCCGGGAACUGACAGAGAGUCACAAAGACGCUGGACUCUUGUGAGCCACAAAAACACCCAGACUAGUUAUUCCUGGCUGUUGCCGGCUUGUGUUCUCCCUGUGUCAGGACACAAGGACAAGGGGACGCUCAGGGCUUGUCUACACUACCAAGCUGUCAACAAAACCUUUAUCUUUCACGGGUGCUUAAAAAAGCCGCCCCCCUCCCCAAAAGACAAACGUUUUGCCUUGGCAAGUGGGAGUGUGAACGCAGCUUUUUCGGCAGGAGCACUCUCCUGCCGCCAAAGCAAAUGCCGCUCACGGGACUGGAAGUAUUUUAUCGGCCAAAGUGCCAACAAAGUGCGUUUACACACUCCAACGUUUAGUCGACACACCCUUGUCGCUAAAAGCUGCGUGGUGUAGACCAGCCCCCCGUGGAACUGAAAGGGGGCAAGUUCCCACCUACUCACACCCAACAAAAGGACGCACAUGGGACUGGCCUGUGGAACUCUCUGCCACAGGGUGUUGCAGAGGCCAAGAACGGAGCAUGAUACAGAAAGGGAAACUUCUGUGACUUGCCACAACAUCCAGAAUAAAGAACAGGAGGACUCGUGGCAUCUUAGAGACUAACCAAUUUAUUUGAGCCUAAGCUUUCAUGAGCUACAGCCCACUUCAUCGGGUGCCUGCAGUGGACAAUACAGGGGGGAGAUUUAUAUACACAGAGAACAGGAAACAAGGGGUGUUGCCGUACACACGGUAACGAGAGUGAUCAGGUGAGGUGAGCUAUUCCUAGCGGUGGGGGGGGGGGGACACCUUU